rnacentral:rRNA from 1 species
UACGUAGGGUGCAAGCGUUAAUCGGAAUUAUUGGGCGUAAAGCGUGCGUAGACGGCUUUGUAAGUCGGAAGUGAAAGCCUGGGGCUCAACCUCAGAAUUGCUUUUGAAACUGCAUAGCUAGAGUGUGAGAGGGGAUGGCGGAAUUCCUAGUGUAGAGGUGAAAUUCGUAGAUAUUAGGAGGAACACCGGUGGCGAAGGCGGCCAUCUGGCUCACAACUGACGUUGUUGCACGAAAGCGUGGGGAGCAAACAGG